rnacentral:tRNA from 1 species
GCCCUGAUGGUCUAGCGGUAUGAUUCUCCCUUAGGGCUAAAAACCCGCAUCUGGGAGAGGUCCCAGGUUCGAUCCCUGGUUAGGGCC